rnacentral:rRNA from 1 species
GAUGAACGCUGGCGGCGUGCCUAGUACAUGCAAGUCGAGCGAACGGACGAGAAGCUUGCUUCUCUGAUGUUAGCGGCGGACGGGUGAGUAACACGUGGAUAACCUACCUAUAAGACUGGGAUAACUUCGGGAAACCGGAGCUAAUACCGGAUAAUAUUUUGAACCGCAUGGUUCAAAAGUGAAAGACGGUCUUGCUGUCACUUAUAGAUGGAUCCGCGCUGCAUUAGCUAGUUGGUAAGGUAACGGCUUACCAAGGCAACGAUGCAUAGCCGACCUGAGAGGGUGAUCGGCCACACUGGAACUGAGACACGGUCCAGACUCCUACGGGAGGCAGCAGUAGGGAAUCUUCCGCAAUGGGCGAAAGCCUGACGGAGCAACGCCGCGUGAGUGAUGAAGGUCUUCGGAUCGUAAAACUCUGUUAUUAGGGAAGAACAUAUGUGUAAGUAACUGUGCACAUCUUGACGGUACCUAAUCAGAAGGCCACGGCUAACUACGUG